rnacentral:rRNA from 1 species
UACGUAGGGGGCGAGCGUUGUCCGGAUUUAUUGGGCGUAAAGAGCUCGUAGGCGGCCAACUAAGUCGGAUGUGAAAUCCCCAGGCUCAACUUGGGAACUGCAUCCGAUACUGGAUGGCUUGAAUCCGGGAGAGGGAUGCAGAAUUCCAGGUGUAGCGGUGAAAUGCGUAGAUAUCUGGAGGAAUACCGGUGGCGAAGGCGGCAUCCUGGACCGGCAUUGACGCUGAUGAGCGAAAGCUAGGGGAGCAAACGGG